UACGGGGGGGGCAAGCGUUGUUCGGAAUUACUGGGCGUAAAGAGCGUGUAGGCGGUUUGGUAGGUCCGUUGUGAAAACUCGAGGCUCAACCUCGAGACGCCGAUGGAAACCAUCAGACUAGAGUCCGGAAGAGGAGAGUGGAAUUCCUGGUGUAGCGGUGAAAUGCGCAGAUAUCAGGAAGAACACCCGUGGCUAAGGCGGCUCUCUAGUACGGUACUGACGCUGAGACGCGAAAGCGUGGGGAGCGAACAGG
rnacentral:rRNA from 1 species